GUGGAGGAACUAUAUUUCAGAGAAUAUGAAUUCACAGACUGUACAAGUUACACUCUGUUGAUUCAAAAGAAGGUUGUUUGUCCAAGCUUGUCCAAGUCAGUUUCAAGAGGCUCAGCCACCAAAAGUUUCAUCAAAGAGGAAGCCAAGGUCAUCAGUAAAGCCUCACGAGAGCUACCUGGAACGGGCAGGAAAGAAAAAUGCAGAUAAGAAAAUUAAAACCACAGACUCCUGGGCAGCGAACAAGAGCCUUCUGAUCCUAAUUCGAUCUGGAGUUAAGAAUGAAGGGGAUUUCUGUAGCAGUUUCUUUUGCAUAGCAGAGCUCCGACUUUUCCAGCAACAGCGUGUCCCUGGAAGCUACACAAAGUCCUCUUUGAUUGCCUGUGAUCAAAGCCACGAAGGCUCUCCUGCAACAUCUUAGCUUCAGAAAGCCAGGAAAAUCAGAAUGCUGAGAGUAUAUUAAUAAUUCCUAAACAUAUUUUUAAGGUUCUUCAGGCCUGUCUCAGAGCUAUGGAGGAUGCAGCAAAAGGGAUGCCUUUGAUCUGCUGUCUCUGGAUGCACAAGGAGCUCAGAGAAACAACCAGGACACAGAACAAAACAAAGCAUGGAGCUCUAAUUUAGGGGUUUCAGCUAAGCGAGUCACUCAGCACCAGCACUGCACAGGAGUUCUUACAGCUUCCUUUAUGAGAAAGAUUUGUUCUUCUGUUUAUAGGGUAUCAGAGCCAGGAGGGUGGCUGACUCUGAUGAUAGAACAAGAGCCAAAUAUGCUCCUGAUGCUCCAGUAGAGUGGUCUUCAGGUGAUCGAGAUUCCGAGCUCCCAAACCAAGGCAAGAAUAAGGAAACUGGAACAGGAGGGCAUGCUGGGCUCCAGCCUCCCGUGACAGUGAAACAUUGCCUUAGAAUGACUGUUGUUAAUACAAUUGAGGAAAUAUAACACGUAAUCUUGUGAUUAAGUUAUACACAAUUUGAUUUAAAUUUAGUUCCUGGCAGUUGCUAGGUUUCACUCUGGCAUACUCUCUCAGUGUGGAAGCUGCUGAUUCAGAAAGAGAUGUUCCAAAGCUCAUGUAUUUCCUGGACACAUCCAAGUACUGAAUAAAAUGCUGGUUAAAUAAAUGAGUUAAUUUUCCAAGAAAGACACCAAUUACUUUUAGAUUCUUUUGCUUUCUUAAGCAGAUGUGUACACAUUCGGAAACAUAAUUGGAGGGAGGAUAGAAUGGGGGAAAACAUGGAACUGCUGGGAGCUCAGUCAGAGACUGAAGAUGAUGCAGAGACUUAUUGAGAGGACCACAUUGGGUGCCUGGAAACUGGAAGAACAAGACACUUGGACUCCUAUUUUUUCACAAGUUGGUAGGAUGGGGACAGAAGCAUGGGAGGUGAAAAC
rnacentral:lncRNA from 10 species